rnacentral:tRNA from 1 species
GGUGAGAUGGCCGAGUUGGUCUAAGGCGCCAGGUUAAGGUUGUAUAUUCAUACGAAUAAAUAUUCAAUCUCCUGGUCUAGUAAUAGGCGUGGGUUCAAAUCCCACUCUCAUCA